ensembl:lncRNA TTTY12 testis expressed transcript, Y-linked 12
AUGAUUCUGGGGAAACUCUACCACCAUCUGUGUGCCUUGCCUAGCAAUAUGUCACUAUCCAGGUAUGUUCCUGGCAGAAAAGUUGCAUAACUUGGGGGUUAAAGACAGGAAUAUGGCACAAUGCCCAUUGUGGGCAGUGUCCAGACAGAAGAAGAGACUCAUAUCACCUAAAUGACAAACCCAGAAUAUGUCACAAUGUAUCCUGUUGAAAGGACCAGGACAAUGGAAGAAGAGUCAAAUCACCAGGAUGCCGAUUUUAGUGAUUUAUCAAGAUUCCCCCUGUUAACAGGGAUUAGGAAGAAACGAGGAUGAAUUGCCACAUCAUCUGGUUCUGAGUUCUGAGAUAUUCACAAGUCCCCUUAGAAAACAACUCAGGCAAGAGAGUUACAUCACCUAGGAGCCCGUUCCACCCUUAUGUCACAGUGCUUCAUGUGUACAGGACUAAGAAGAAAGUCACAUCACCUAGAUGAUAGACCCAGAGACACGUCACAAAGCCUUCCUGAAAGCAUGGCCCUGGCAAAAUAGUACAAUCACCUUUGUACCUGGUCUAGCAAUAUGUCAUUAUUCAAGUGUGCAGGUACCAAGGAGAGGAGCCAUACUACCUAUGUUAUAUGCCCUGUGCUAUGUCAAAAUGCCUUCUUUUCAGCAUGGCCCUGGAAGAAUGUAUCAUCUCAUAUGUGACUGGCCUAGGAAGAUGUCACUAUCCUGCCAUGUGUGCAGGGCCCAUUUUAGAGAUUAGAGUUAUGUCUUCUUCUAAGUCAUGGACCCAGUGAUAUAUCACUAUGAUGUCUGUGAGAAUGGGCAGGCAGGAAUGUAAUGUCACUUGCAUUCUAGAUCCAGUGAUGUCACAAUUCUUACUGAGGGCAGAGCCCAGUCAGAAGAGUCAUAUCUUUUACAGGUUGGCCCAAGUAGAUGUCAAAAACCCCUAUGGAUUAGAUUUACAAUACCACACAUCUCUUGUUUUCAUGUAGGAGAGUUGCCUGCAUUCAUCUGUGAUGAUGAAAGUCCUUACUGUCAGCCAAGUGUGCAUAUGAGACUCACAAUUUCCUCUGUUUGCUAACCACUAUUAUGACACUCUCUAUUCAACCCAACGGUUUUAUAAAACAUUUGUCAUUGUUAUAAA